rnacentral:lncRNA from 1 species
ACCUUUGAAAAAGUUCAAAACUCCAAAACUUGAAAUUUGAAGAUCAAGUAGGCAACUUAGUGAGAUUGGUUAGAGAGAUUGGGAGAUGAUCUGAAUGUGAAACUUGUUGGGUCAGAUAGAGGGAGUGGGAAGGUUUAAUUAAAGCCUUGAAUCAGCCAAAUCCACUGAAUGAGUAGAGAGAAACUUGAUGAUGAAUGUAGGGUCAAAAUGUUUGCCAUGAAAAUGAAAUAAAUUGAUUUAAAACUCAAUAAUGAUCAAAUGGUGCCAAACUCGAAUCAAUCAAGACCUAAUCUGGCCCAGGGAACUCAGGAAUAAUAAUUAGGGUUUAAAAAUUAUUUUUCCAUAAUUUAAUUUUACCAUUUACCAUUUAUUUUGAAUUUUUAACUAUUUACCAAAGGUAAAAUCAUUAAAAAUUAACCAAAAAUCAUAAAUCAACCAAAAUACCCUAGAAAAAUUCUAAACAUAAUAUAGGUAUUUAUGGUUAGGUUUUCCAAAGUAUUUCCAAAAAUAUUUAACAUAGUAAUAAUUUUCCUUUCGUUUACCGAUAAACUGAAAAAUCGGUAAACGACGAACAGUCUGACGGUAAACAAUCCGACUGAGAAAUCAAUCGUCGUAGGUUUCAUAUAUGUAUAUUACUAAAUACAUUACAAUACACACACAAAUACAUCAAAUAAAUAUAGGGGUCUUAUAUUACUACCCCUCUAACAAAAAGUUUCGGCCUCGAAACUUAAGAUCCGACAAACAACUCCGGAUACUGCUCUCGGAUUUUGUCCUCAAGCUCCCAAGUUGCAUCACCAGUAGCUUGGUUCCAUAUGACUUUGACUAGAUGUACUUCCUUGUUCCUCAACUGCUUGACUCUACACUCAGCAAUGCUCAUCGGUGCCACGUCGAAAGACAGAUUAUCCUUCAACUGAAUAUCAUCAUCAACGAGGAUAUGCGAAGGAUCAGGAAUAUACUUCCUCAACUGUGACACGUGUAGUACAUCAUGAAUUUUGGACAAGAAAGACGGCAAAGCAAUGCGGUAAGCUACGUAACCGACUCGCUCAAUGAUCCGGUACGGACCGAUAAACUUUGGUGUCAGCUUUUUGGACUUAAUCGCUCUGCCUACUCCUGUAGUCGGCGUCACCCGCAAGAACACAUGGUCACCAGCCUGAAAUUCCAAGUCUCGGCGUCGAACGUCAGCGUAGCUCUUCUGUCUACUCUGAGAUGACCGCAUCUUGUCCUGAAUCUGCUUCACCUUAUCGGUUGUCUGCUGUACUAAGUCAGGACCAACAAGAAGAUGCUCACCAUCCUGAAACCAACACAGAGGAGUCCUACAUCUCCUCCCAUACAAGGCUUCAAACGGUGCCAUCCCGAUACUGGCAUGAAAGCUGUUAUUAUAAGUGAACUCAAUCAAGGGCAACAGUUCAUCCCAGCUCUCCUGAUUAUCCAGUACACAAGCUCGUAACAGAUCCUCCAAAGACUGAAUAGUACGUUCCGACUGACCAUCGGUCUGAGGGUGAUAAGCAGAACUCAAACGAAGUCUCGUACCCAAAGCCUCAUGCAAAGCUUUCCAGAACUUGGAAAUAAACUUUGGAUCUCUAUCCGAAACGAUGCUAGAAGGUACUCCAUGCAGACGUACAAUCUCAGCUAUGUAGACUCUCGCAAGCUGUUCCACAUUAUAAUUCGCUCUGACCGGUAGGAAGUGAGUAGACUUAGUCAGGCGGUCCACAACAACCCAGAUAGAGUCAAAUUUCUUCCUGGUAGUCGGUAGCGCUACAACGAAGUCCAUAGAAAUGCUAUCCCACUUCCACUCUGGCACAUCAAGAGACUGUAACAAACCGGCAGGUUUCUGGUGCUCAACCUUAGCCUUCUGGCAAGUCAAACACGAUGCUACAAACUCAGCGAUCUGCUUCUUCAUUCCAGGCCACCAAAAACUCAACUUCAGAUCUUGGUACAUCUUAGUGGAACCAGGAUGAAUACUCAGCUUACUACGAUGUCCUUCCUCCAUAAUCAAGCGUCUCAACUCAGAAACCCGGGGCACACAAACUCGUCCCUUACAGCGCAAAAUAUCAUCAGACCCAACCUCAAAGUCAGGUGCUUUACCCAGGCUGAUCAUCUCGCGCUUCUCUUCCAACUCCUCAUCUAGUCGUUGUUUCUCACGGAUUUCCUCCAACAGUUCACUGGAAACCGUCAACAUCCCAUAACUCAGUUUCACAGGGGUUAACACAACACCCAAACUUAGAUCUCGGAAUUUCUCGAUCAACUCCAGUUCCUUAACCAUCAGUGAAGACACAUGGAUCGUCUGACGACUCAAAGCAUCAGCUACCACGUUGGCUUUACCUGGUUGAUACAGAAGAGUGAAAUCGUAAUCCUUUAUGAACUCCAUCCAACGCCUCUGCCUCAUGUUCAAAUCUUUCUGAUCAAACAGAUACUUCAAACUUUUAUGAUCAAUGAACACCGUGAACUCACUACCGUACAGAUAGUGCCUCCAGGUUUUUUAGAGCAAAAACAACAGCUGCAAGCUCCAGAUCAUGCGUCGGAUAGUUCCUCUCAUGAAUCUUCAACUGCCUCGAUGCAUAAGCCACCACUUUCCGAUUCUGCAUCAGCACACAACCCAAACCCUGAUAAGAAGCAUCACAGUAUACCUCAUAAGGUACAUCAUCCUGUGGCAAAGUCAAAACAGGUGCAGUAGUCAAACGUUGCUUCAUCGUCUGGAAACUCUGUUCACACUCCUCAGUCCAAGCAAAAGGUUGACCCUUCCGAGUUAGCUUGGUCAAAGGUCCAGCAAUCUUGGCAAAGCCUUCGAUAAACCGACGAUAAUAUCCAGCCAAGCCAAUGAAACUCCGAAUCUCAAUGACAGUCAUCGGACGUUCCCAAGCAACAACAGUUUCCACCUUGCUAGGAUCAACAGCAAUACCCUCCUUGGAGAUAACAUGACCCAAGAAUUUCACUUCCUCCAGCCAGAAUUCACAUUUACCCAAGUUGCCAUACAGAGUUUUCUCCCGAAGUACUUGUAGCACUUGGCGUAAGUGAUCCUCAUGCUCCUUGUGGUCCUUAGAGUAUAUCAGAAUAUCAUCAAUAAACACCACAACAAAGCGAUCCAAGAACGGAUGAAAAAUGCGAUUCAUAUAGUCCAUGAAUAUCGCAGGCGCAUUCGUCACCCCAAAAGGCAUAACCAGAUACUCAAACAGACCAUAUCGAGUCCGAAAAGCAGUCUUCUUGAUAUCUUCCUCCUUAACCCUGAUCUGGUGAUAACCUGAUCUCAAAUCAAUCUUCGAGAAAACCGCAGCAUCCUUCAGUUGAUCCAUCAAGUCAUCAAUCCUCGGUAACGGAUACUUGUUCUUGAUCGUUACCUUAUUCAGUUGGCGAUAAUCAACACAAAGUCUGGAACGACCAUCCUUCUUCUUGACCAACAACACAGGCGCUCCCCAUGGCGAUUUGCUGGUGCGUAUAAACCCUUUCCUGCUGAGGUCCUCCAAUUGACUCUUCAGCUCAGUCAACUCAGCUGGAGCCAUACGGUAAGGUGCAAUAGAAAUAGGUCCAGUACCAGGAACCAGAUCAAUACUGAACUCCAACUCCCUGACAGGCGGUAAACCCGGUACAUCCUCAGGAAAUACAUUUGCAAACUCCUGCACCACAUUAAUAUCUUUCACUCCAUCAUCUCCGAUCAUCGAAGAAGUCGAAGCCAAAAACAUACUCAGAGUCCCGUGCUGUAAGGAUAGCUUCGAAAAAUAAGAAGUCAAGAACUUGGCAACAUCAGCCUCAGGAAGAAUAGCCACCUUAUUAGCACAGUCAAGCAAGACGUGAUUCGCCGAUAACCAGUCCAUCCCUAUGAUGAUGUCCAUACCUUGGAGCGGUAGACAAAUCAAGUUUGUAACAAACUCUUUGUCUAGAUACAACCAAGAACACUCUAAACAAGCAGUGUUAGCAAUCACACUUCCCGUAGCAGGAAUAGUCACCACAAGAUCAAAAGGCAAUUCAGUUAACUUUAGCUCUAACCUCAAAGCACAAGCUAAGUCUAUGAAUGAAUGCGUAGCACCAGAGUCAAAAAGUAUAGUUAAAGGUUUACCAUUCACGCUCCAGACGCUCCGAAUCAGUCCAUCAGCUCUGCUGGACUCAGCACCGCUAACUGUAUAAACUCGAGCACUAGCAACAGGCCUCUUCCCUUUAUUAGCAGCAGGGGCUGGCCUCCGAGCAGCAAUAGCAUUAGUAGCAGCCUCAACCUUGGGAUUUGUGCAAUCCUUACCACUGUGACCAGUCUUCUGACAAUUCCAGCAUACUAAGUCGGGACAACGGUUUGCAAAAUGACCCUUCUUUGAACAGCGGUGACAAACUAUCUCUGAAGUAUCAGACUGUGUAGGCCUCAGUACAAAAUUCCCGAAAGAGGGAGAAUACCCCGACGGAGUACCCCGAUUCUGAGGGCGCUGAAACGGUUUCUUCUGAAAAGACUUGUUCCUGUCAAACCUCCCUGGUCCUGAUCUGUUGGGGCCUCCACUGCCCUGAUUUGGACGGAAAGCAGGCCUCGAUCUGAGAUUAUCAAUGGCCUCAAUGGACUUAGCUUUCUCCACCAAUUCCUGAUAACGAUGGAUGCUGGUCAGUCUAACAGCCCGCUGUAACUCAUAAUUCAGCCCAAGAGUAAACCUGCCACACAUAUAAUCCUCAUCUAUCUGGUCGUGAAAGAACCGGAAAUGUUUAGCCAGAGCCUCUAACUUUACUGCAUAUUCAACCACAGACAUCGAUCCCUGUCGAAGCCUCAGAAACUCUUCCUCCUUGGCCAUCUUGACACUGGCCGGAAAGUAUUUGUCCAGGAAAGCUCUGCGAAAGACCACCCCAAGUAAUAGCUCUACCAUCAGCCUCCAUCAUAGCUUUGGCUCCGCGCCACCAAUACUCAGCUUCCCCAGUCAACAGAUAUGCAGCAUAGUCCACCUUGGUAGCUUCGGCAGUGUGAAGGAAAGCAAAGAUCUUCUCCAAUUCCUGUAACCAAGAAUCAGCCACUUCCGGAUCAAAUCCACCAGCGAACUUCGGCGGAUCCUGCCUUUUGAAGUCAUUGAGCCCCUUAGUCUGAGCGGCUACCAACUCACGCUCCUCCUGUGCAGCACGCCUAGCAUUCUCAUCUGCCUGAAGUUGGGCAGCAGCAGUUGCACGUUGUGCCUCAGUUUGUUCCCUAGCAGCAGUACGGAGUGCUUCAGCUUCUUCCCGAGCUGCAGAAUUAGUGACUUGCUGAGCCAUCAAGGCUGUCAAGUUGGCAAUUUCGGCUUCCAAAUUAUUCAUCUCGUUAGCUUGCUGAUUAUCUGAUUGUGAAGCUUGACCGUGACGAGUUCUCAUCAACCACUUAAGAAACCUUUAGAUAACCUUAUUAGGCAACAGGUUAGAUAACAGAAUAACGGUCUAAAAAGCACAAAGAGUCUAAGUCUAUCAGAGAUUCCCUGUUUUCGAUUGACACCCCAUCAAUCGACUCCAGAGUAAUUAUACUACCCAUCAGCUUUGGUUUAUCUAGAACCAAAUGCUCUGAUACCACAAAAUGUAACGCCCCAAUUAAGGUAACUGGGACGUAGCAUUAGGUAAGCUAACGAUAGACUAAGGUUCACGGAACCACGGGAUUUUUUUUUUCUGAAAACGAACAGUUAUAAGUUCGAAAACCUCGAGAGAAACUUAACACGAUACAAUAAUAAUAUUACAUACCCAGUAUCCCGAAUAAGUUAUAAUUAUUACACAACAACAAGAAAAUAAAAUAUAAAGUCCUUUAUUCAAAUCCGCCAUAACAGAAAACCAAGUCAUCAAUUCUGUUCAUCCGCAUCCGCACCUAAUGGCAGACGAACGCCAAAAACAACAAGACAAGCAACAAUGAAAGGGUUAACUCAUGCAUUAAACAUAAAUCAGAUUGCAAGUUAAAUAAAGAAGCAGCGUAUAGCGAAUAAGGGUUAGUCUUCCUAAAUGUCUAUAUGCUCUCUACAAAAUGGAUCGAUCAAUAAUAAUAAUACCCCGAUGGGUAACAACGGAACGAUAACCGUUGGGGCCACUUAAAAAUUUGCACAUGUGGGACAGUCUCCGGCUGCCGCUUGAUAUAAUAAUAACAUUAACAAUUGCACCUCGAAAGGUGGGACAGUAACUGAACGAAAACAGAAACCGCCGCUUGAAGUGUAACGCCCCGUAGGACGGGACGGCGCGUGGUCGAGACCACUAACCCGCCACUCCUAAUGAAAUGAUAUGGUUAGCCACACAAUAAUAAGAGUGACCUCAAUUCAACAUAACCAAUAAAAGUUCCAAUUCAUCAACGAUAAAAGUGAACCUCAGUUCAUCAUAAUCAAUAAGAUAACCAAGAUAAUAAUACUCCAUCAAUCCAUCAAUAAUAGGUGGAACAGAUAAUGAAUAAAGUCAUGCUAUCUGAAAGUAAAUGACGGAGUUACCCUAACCUUCAACCGCGUGAAUAAUCGGAAACGGAUCAAUCGUCAAAUGGCACUGCAUAAUAUUAAAUAAUGAUCCUUUUAAAACUUAAAUUAAUUAAUAAAGGUAAUAUAUAUUUUAGUCCUUAAUUAUAGGUUUUAAUCUGGAGUCCUUAAGUUUGCCCAAAAUUCCAGAAAUACCCUUAAGACAUGUGAAAUUACCGUUUUGUCCUUUUUAACAAAUUAAAUAGCAAAUAAUUACUUAAAAACAUAUAAAAAUGCUAAAAAUGUUAAAAAUGACAAAUUAAAUUUUUCUAAGUCAGAUUACAUCAUUAAAAAAAAAUUUCUACUAUCUGGAAAAAUUAUUAAGCCAAUUAACCAUUUUUAACUAAUUACUAAAUUAACCAAUUUAUACAAAAUUACUUAAAAUAGCUAUUAAAACAAUAAAAACGUUAUGAAGUUCAAAUUUAUUAAUCUUUAUGCUCCUAAGUUCAUUUAUAAUAUAAAACCUAUUUUCUAACCUCUGGAAAUAUUUUUAAAACGUAUUACCAAUUUUAAAUGUAAAAACUUAAUUAACCAUUUUAAAGAAAAACACCUAAAAAUAGCUAAUUUAUAAGAAAAAUACUAAUAAAUGAUUUUCAGUGCUCUAACUUGUUUAUAAACUCUUUUGUGACUCUGGAAAAUUUCCAUUGAUUUUCUGGAACUAUUAAACUAUUUCUAAACCAUUAAAUAGUCCUAAAAAGUCUAUUAUUAUACUAAAAAUACUUAAAAUUACUAAAUCAGUGAGUUAAGUCUCUGGAAACUUUACGAACACCUACAUAAACUAUAUGAACAUACUUGAUCACUGGAAAAUUUAUUUUACAAUAUUAUUCUAUUUUUAAACACUUUAAAACAUAUAUUACUUAUUUAAUUAACUAAAAAUCACAUAAAUUACUAAAAUUGGUGAAAUAAUUUAUAAAACUUCCAGGGAUGAUAUUAGACCUAUACGGAAGCUCUAUGUAAUUAUCAUGACCUAAAUCAGCCUCUAAAAAAUUUUAUAACAUAUUCCAUACUUUCUAACCAAUUAAAAGUCCAGUUAUCAAGCAAAAAUUGUAGUAAUUAAUCUAGUGCUCCAAAAAUUCUCAAACGUUGCCCGAAAUUAUCUUAUAGCAUCAUGAUAGUACAGUAAAAGUUUCAAGUCCAAGUGAUUAGUAUAAAUGGUACUUACCUUUGAAAAAGUUCAAAACUCCAAAACUUGAAAUUUGAAGAUCAAGUAGGCAACUUAGUGAGAUUGGUUAGAGAGAUUGGGAGAUGAUCUGAAUGUGAAACUUGUUGGGUCAGAUAGAGGGAGUGGGAAGGUUUAAUUAAAGCCUUGAAUCAGCCAAAUCCACUGAAUGAGUAGAGAGAAACUUGAUGAUGAAUGUAGGGUCAAAAUGUUUGCCAUGAAAAUGAAAUAAAUUGAUUUAAAACUCAAUAAUGAUCAAAUGGUGCCAAAAUCGAAUCAA